rnacentral:rRNA from 1 species
UACGGAGGGUGCGAGCGUUGUCCGGAAUUAUUGGGCGUAAAGGGCUCGUAGGCGGUUUGUCGCGUCGGGAGUGAAAACUCAGGGCUUAACUCUGAGCCUGCUUCCGAUACGGGCAGACUAGAGGUAUGCAGGGGAGAACGGAAUUCCUGGUGUAGCGGUGAAAUGCGCAGAUAUCAGGAGGAACACCGGUGGCGAAGGCGGUUCUCUGGGCAUGACCUGACGCUGAGGAGCGAAAGUGUGGGGAGCGAACAGG